rnacentral:rRNA from 1 species
UUAUGAAUGUAAAUUUUUAAUACUGUACUAUUAGUAGUUAUGGCCUUUAAAAUUAAAGAAUUUGGCGGUAUUUUAGUCUAUUCAGAGGAACCUGUUCUAUAAUUGAUAGUCCACAAUUAAAUUCACCAAUAUUUUUAAUUUAUAUAUCGUCGUAGUUGGAAUAUUUUAUUAGAAUUUGAAUAUUCAAGAUUUUUAAUGAAAAAGUAAAUCAGAUCAAGGUGUAGUUUAUAUAUUGGUAGUAAUGGGUUACAUUAAGUUUAUUUCUGGUAGGGUAUUUUUGAAAUACUUGAAUAUUGGAUUUGAAAGUAAUUUUUUUCAUAUAAGAAAAAUGAUUUUAGCUCUAAAAUAUG